CUCAUCCGACUUCAUUUUUUGACAACAUUCAUGGUGAUCCAUCAAUACAGCACCUCUUUGGGUUGUGUAUAUUUUGCCCUUAGCUUAACCGUUCAUCCCAAGCUCAACCUCCUAGGGUUUUGUGCCCCCUUAUAAAUACUACAGUAAAGCAGCUUUGCCUCUUCAUACCUCCAUCCCCUUCUUCAUUUCAUUAGACAACAACAAUGAGUCACUAAGCUAGCUUUGAGAUUUCAACAUUUUGUAGAAGUGGUGAAAGAGAAGAUCUAGCUUGAGGAUUAAAAAUAGAAGACUGUUGAGGUUGAGGCUAGCUUGAGGUAUAACCCAUGGACACCCAAACUUACCAUUUUCUAUAUGAAAUAUGUGUUGUAUGAUGAUGUUCUGUAUUUUUAGUUUGCUAUUGAGCUUAUAGGAUGAAAUGUGUUGUGUUUGAUAUCUAUUUUGAUGUAAAUUGAUGCUUUAGUGAUAUAAUGUUGUUGUUGAGGUGA